rnacentral:rRNA from 1 species
AUGCAAGUCGAGCGAGGCGGAGGGGGCAACUCCUCCAGUCGAGCGGCGGACGGGUGAGUAACACGUGGGCAAUCUGCCCGAAAGUGGGGAAUACCCCAGGGAAACUUGGGCUAAUACCGCAUGUGAUCGCGACCUCGAGAGAGGAUGCGAUCAAAGGGGGGUCGCAAGACCUCCCGCUUUCGGAGGAGCCCGCGCCCGAUUAGCUAGUUGGUGAGGUAACGGCUCACCAAGGCUUCGAUCGGUAGCCGGCCUGAGAGGGUGAUCGGCCACACCGGAACUGAGACACGGUCCGGACCCCUACGGGAGGCAGCAGUGGGGAAUCUUGCGCAAUGGGCGAAAGCCUGACGCAGCAACGCCGCGUGAAGGAUGAAGGUCCUUGGAUUGUAAACUUCUGUCGGCCGGGAAGAAAUUCAUCGGGGUCAAUACCCCCGGUGAUUGACUGUACCGGCAAAGGAAGCCCCGGCUAACUCUGUGCCAGCAGCCGCGGUAAUACAGAGGGGGCAAGCGUUAUUCGGAAUUAUUGGGCGUAAAGGGCGCGUAGGCGGUCCUUCAAGUCUCUCGUGAAAUCCCUCGGCUUAACUGAGGACGUGCGGGAGAUACUGCUGGGCUUGAGUCCGGA